rnacentral:lncRNA from 1 species
CUUGAAAUUGCUAUCCCGUGUAUCACUUUUAAUUUAAAAAAUCUUGAAAAUAUUUAGUCAAUUCAAAGCUCCAUCUCCCUUCAGAGCUGCCUCUGGUCUCUCAGGGUUCUUCUCUUCAGGAUCUCCUUGUCUCCCACAAGGCAUCUGAGCCUAGGAGCACUUUGUGGUUGUAGCAAAAGGGGUCUCUGUUCUGAAUCCUGCCUCUUCUGGGCAUCCUUUGUUGUCCCUUGAGGUGUGGCUGGUGCCUUCUGCAUGGUUUGAGCCUUGUGCUGGGGCUCAGUGCUGACUGUGCCCACACAAUGCCCUUUGUGAGGUUUCUGCUCUCUGUGGCCUUCUUGUCCCAACCUCAGGCCUCCACAUGUGACUUCUGCACCUCAUCUCUGGGAUGGUUUCAGUGGGUCCUAGAUUGCUUUCUGUGCUCCCUGGGACAGUUGGUGGCACUCUGUGAGACUACUCUGAGGUACCCUUACAAGCUACUCUUAAUUUUCCCCGCUGUUCUGCUUGUUGGACAUGGCAUCAUGCUGCAAUGUUAACAGUCUUUCAAAGCUAAGCGCGGAGGAUGUGAUUCCAUCCCUGGCAGUUCUUAGAUUCCCUACCAGUCCUUUCCAUCAUGGGCUCCUGUGGAAAAUGACCCCAGCUCAGCUCAGUAGUUGAUGGGACAUCUGAUUCAGGUUGGACCCAGCCCAGACAUCUGAUUCAAACAAUAUUCUUCUCCAGGAAUUUUGUAACCAGCACUGGUAAAGGGAGGGAAGUGCUCCCCAGUGGGGAGAGCUGCAGAAUGUGAGACUUGGAAACCAAAGGCCGCCAUGUUUUCUGUCUCAUGAUGGAAUCCAAUCUUCUUUGGCGGGGAAAAUAAAUGAAGCCAACACCAGUAGCAUAGUGUUGAGGAGAAUCCCAGAGAUCUGAAUCCCAGGAGAAGUCAG